AUUGAACGCUGGCGGAAUGCUUUACACAUGCAAGUCGAGCGGCAGCGCGGGGCAACCUGGCGGCGAGCGGCGAACGGGUGAGUAAUGCAUCGGAACGUACCCAGUCGUGGGGGAUAACUGUCCGAAAGGACAGCUAAUACCGCAUACGUCCUGAGGGAGAAAGCGGGGGAUCGCAAGACCUCGCGCGAUUGGAGCGGCCGAUGCCGGAUUAGCUAGUUGGUAGGGUAAAGGCCUACCAAGGUGACGAUCCGUAGCUGGUCUGAGAGGACGACCAGCCACACUGGAACUGAGACACGGUCCAGACUCCUACGGGAGGCAGCAGUGGGGAAUAUUGCGCAAUGGGCGAAAGCCUGACGCAGCCACGCCGCGUGAGCGAUGAAGGCCUCGGUCGUAAGACUCUGUGGGUAGGAGAAGAA
rnacentral:rRNA from 1 species